rnacentral:rRNA from 1 species
UACGGAGGAUGCGAGCGUUAUCCGGAUUUAUUGGGUUUAAAGGGUGCGUAGGCGGUUUGAUAAGUUAGAGGUGAAAUGUCCGAGCUCAACUCGGGAACUGCCUCUAAUACUGUUGAUCUAGAGAGUAGAUGCGGUAGGCGGAAUGUAUGGUGUAGCGGUGAAAUGCAUAGAUAUCACGCAGAACCCCGAUUGCGAAGGCAGCAUACCGGUGCACAACUGACGCUCAGGCACGAAAGCGUGGGUAUCGAACAGG